GCAGGAAGUAGAGGUUUGUGACCAGCAGUUGUGGGAUUGGACACAUUUUGAGUUUAAAGAGGGACGGCUCUGAGUCAGCUGGGCAUCCAGUGUGAUUGCCGGCCCCGGGCCCUCAAUGGAAAGUUGUGGAGAGAAGCUGUGGUUGCCAGGCACCUCCUGAGGUGACUCUAUCAGAGCCAGUCAAGCCUGAAAUCAAUCACUCAAACCUAUCAAAGGCUGCCCUGCCCCGCCAUUGUGAACCAGCCAUCUGGGCCUCUGCAUACUGUCUGCGUCAGUUUCGUGUGUGUGUGUGUGUGUGUGUGCAUCUGCAUGUGUAACUAAAUUAACAGAGGGGGUUUAUGACAGUUACCGCACACAGGUUUUCGCGUCCGUCAAACAUUCGCUUGACGCUUUCAUUCAUGACUCUUCUAGGACGGACGGUGACAUUACAGCUCGAGUCUGCCGUUGACUUGUGUUAGGAACCCCAGAAUUUGGCAUCAAGCUCUGCGUUCAACUCCCUAACCAGCUGCAAGGGGCGAUGGGGCCGUCCAACGGGCAGCUCUCCCAGGCCAAACUAACUAACUGUCCUGCUGCAGAGCAUUCGAGAUGGGCUAAACGCACAGCGUCUGCCAUUGGAGGGCAGUAGAACACAGAGCAUCUAUCAGUGUGUCUGUGCUCUGUGCUCUGACUAGGGGCCACUCACAGCGGGGCCAAAGCCUGGAAGGACUGUGAAGAGGUCAGGCAGGAGGAUCGGUUUGUGAAACUACGGCAGGACAUUGGCAUUGCACCUCAGCUCCCUAGGCAUCCAUGAAAUCACCUGACAGACAGACAGAAGAUGGAGGUCUCCAUGGACGCAGUGAAUGCUCAUGUAAUGGGAUCCAGGCGUUCCAUUCCCAGACUGGGAGAAUUUCAAAAGCCGUCGAACAAAAAGAGGACUACGAGAACUUUGUCCACUCAGUCAAUCAGACGGAAACCCUGCUGUGUACAAAUGCAGGGAUGUUGUUUUCUCUGAAGCCUUCAAACAAGUGUCUUUCCCUUUACCCAUGUAAAUAAACUCUCUCGCUGUUUGCUCGUGUCAUUACUGGAGUUGAUAUUUUGCCUGUGGCCCUGAUCAGUGUUGGACACAAAGUGAACUUCAAAGCAAGGGGCCAAACUGAGAUAGUGUGUGCAGCUGCUCAGUGUGUGUGUGUGCGUGUGAGGUGGGGGUGUGGAGGUCUGUUUGAGGAACAGACAGCGCUCAGCUGCCUAGCUUAAUAAAGCUACAGGGGAACUGGGGUUUAAACCGAGA
ensembl:lncRNA